UGGUGAGAUCAAUUGCCAAGAGUAGGAACUUUAGUUGUGAUAAGUGUGAAGGUGUUAGGAGAGGGUUUAAUCUGGCUAGUGUAGCAGGUGAAAUGGGAGGGAACACUGUGAGGGAGGUCUACCUAACAAGGAGAAAAUUGAGAGAAAUUCAGCCAGAAUGUAGCCCUACUUUCUUCUAAAUGGAAAUACUCAUCACUGUGAGAAUAGAGACAAACAGAAUGCGAGAAAGAAAAAUACAGUAACAGAUAGCAUUUAUCUAUUUAAGCAUUUUGCAUAUAUUAACUCAUAAAAUGCUAUUAGAUAAAACACUAUUAGGUAAUACAGUAUUAUUCCUAUUUUACAGAAAGAAGCUCAAAGUUGUUAAAGCAAAAGAGAGGGACCUUACUAUUUUGCCCUUGUCUGCUUCCCCAGAAUUCUUUUGCCACUUACUACUUUGAACUUUCUGCAUGAACACCAUCAAAUGGUUUUCAGUUUCAUGCCAUGAUGAGCUAUCUCUUGCCUCUGUACCUUUGGUCAUGCCAAGAUUCUCAGUCCAUGACCCCUUUUCUUGACUCCCAUCCAUUCUUUAACCCUCAGAUUCUGUUACUUUCUCACAAUUUGUGGACAUUUCUCUCACGGUGUUAAAAUAUUCUGUUUCCUUACCUUCACCUGGACUGGACUGUGGGCAGGACAUAGAUUUCGUGUCUGUGGCAUAGGGCCUGGCCAAUACUAUAUAUAUUUUUCAACUCAACCACAAAUGAGUAAAUAUCUGCGAUAACUAGGUGAACAGAAAAUUCUCAGGGAUGAGGUUUAAAAUAGGGAAAGAGGAAAGAAGUAAAAACUCGUGGCAAAAUAGAACUUGCAUACUCUUUACUUUCAAUUUAGGCUAGGGGUCAAACCAGAACUAUAGCUGCUGGCCUAUACCGCAGCCACAGCAAUGCGGGAUCUGAACUGCGCCUGCAACCUACACCACAGCUUUCAGCAACGCCGGAUCCCCAGUCCUCUGAGAGAGGCCAGGGAUUGAACCCGCAUCUUUAUGGAUACCAGUCAGAUUCAUUUCCGCUGCACCACAGUGGGAACUCCAAGGAAAAAAACAGCAUUUAAUAUGAGUUUGUAUACUACAGUCUAAGGAGAUUUUGUAUGAGUUCUGAGCGAUAUAGGUACUCAUAGGAAUGUAUCUCUAAUUUUUCCCCAUCUUAGUUAAUGGUGUUAACUUUUAAUGAUAACCUCUGCCCUUGGGUCUGCAGAAAUUCAAAACGGUUUGGGUAUUUUGAUGUGCAGGGAAAAAAAAUGGACACUUCCAAAAAAAUUUUUUUGACCACACCCAUGGCAUGUGGAAGUUCCUGGGUCGGGGAUUAAACCUGAGCCACAACAGUGACCAGAGGUGAUGCAUGGACAACACCGGAUCCUUAACGUGCUGUGCCAGAAGAGCACGCCUGUACACAUUAAAAAAAACCCAAAUCCGUAAGCUUUCUCUGCUUAUCUUUAGCACUUAUCUGUGGCUUUUGCAAUGCUAGCAUUACCAUAGUGAUAAAUAGGGGGUGAUGCUAUCCAUAAAGUUUCCUGCAUAGUUCAAUAAAAAUACCAGUAAUGACUAUUUUUUAUUGGUUAUGCCUGGCACCAUGCUAAGCAUUUCACAUACAUUAUUCCAAUUAAUUACAGUACCUCUAUGUUACAAAUCAGAAAUGUGAGGCCCAAGGCCACCCACUGACAGAGCCAGGAUUCUGACACCAGUAACUAUGCUCACCACACUACACAUUUGCUCUAAUUUAUUAAUUCCUUUAGGUCUUUCUCUUUCAAGUGGCUUUAGUCAAUACAGCCACUUGGGUUCUGCGCAUAUGCUGGAAAUAGCAUGGUCUGUUAAUUCUAACCCUCCACUGACUGUAUCAGGCAGUUCCUAGUUUUAAGCUCAGGCUCAAAGUAUAGACUCUUUUAUGAGAUUUCUGGCAGAAGCAGGUGAAAGGAAGAAUUCAAAACCAUUUCCUUUGUUGGGAGAGACACAUCAAGUAGUUGGGAGGGAGUGGGGCUGUUCCAUUCAGCCCUCAGUCUAGUCUCUUGGAGAGCAGCACUGAAGUCUCUCCCAUAAUUGCCUGCCUGGAAGGUGGAAAAUGGGAUAAGUGAUGUCACCGCAAAUGCAGACAUGCUGAACCCAAUAUUGCACAUCAGUGAAAUGGCUCAGGGAUUAGCUAGGCAUCCUCAACCCAUUUUCACAUUUAGUUUUCCUUCAAAGGAGAACUAUAUAAAAUAUACAACAAUAACCCAUGGCUUAUUUUAAAGUGCUUUCUUCUGACAGUCCUUAGUAGCACAUGAUUAGAGUUAAAAACCGAGAAACUAAUCCUUCUUCAGCUGCUGACCUGCAGUGUGAAAUGCAGUCAGGUAACCUACUCCAGGGCUGACCAAGGCACAGGUAUUUAUUAAGUAUCUAUUAACAGUCCAGCAUGAAUUUUUAUGCUUUGGGUAUCAAAAGAGUAUUGAAAGCUAGGUUUCAGCUUACCCUGAGCACCACACAAGUCAAAAUAAUGAAUUUCAGUGGUUAAAUGACUGGUAUAAACUACGGCAGUUGGGAUGACAAAUAAAUGAAUGACAGCUGGACUGGUCAAGCAUAGUGAGCAAUUGCUCUGACUGCCCACAAUCUACUUGUUUUUCCUCUAAUAACAUAAUACAUAUUUUGCUCUGAGAAGUCAUGCAUCCCCACUCUAAGUCCGCUUAGUUUGGGUGAUGACUAAGACAGGAAUGGGAGCAUGACUGACUAUAGCCAGUGAGAUUUUAAAAAUAUUCCUGUAUUGCCUAUGGCUGAAAGGAGACUUACACAUGGACUUUUCAGUUAGCUGAAACAAGAAAUUUCUUUUUUCUUAAGCCAGUUUGCUUUGGCUUGUUUGCUACUUGCAACCAAAAUAUUGCUAACGGGUUUUCUGCUUCUAGAUAGGGUAGACUUCUGCUUCUCAGAAGGAUACAGUAGAAGCUGACAGGGUAAUGUUCCCACUGCAACAACUUGAAACCAACAGAUAAAUUGCAAACUUCAUAUUUCUGAAUGCAUGGGGGAAAUGUAGAAGUAACAGAGAUGAGAUAAACCCUAAAUCUUGAGAGGUGAGAAGCUGACUACUCUAGUCAUUUUUCAACCUGAGUCAUCUGCCAAUUUUGAGCAUGACCUGAGGAGCAGGCUCGCUGAUGAAGCAGAACUCUGCUGGGAGUAAGAGUGACCACCUGAGCUUUUAGCAGUUACAGGGGGCUGAUAUGGCAGUUUGGAAGCUUGAAGAGACUCAAAUACUUAUUGUUUCCAGAUAGGUUCUAGAGCUGCAGGGGAACUAAGCUAAAAGCUUCUAAAAUGCAGAGUAAAUUAUCUAGAGUUUCUUGGUGCUUAGGAACUAAGAUCUGCCAGUGAGAGAGCUUGCAUCAAGAAAAUUUACUUAGGGUCUAGAGAUUGACUGAAACUUACAGAGAGCAGAGAUGGAAACCAGUACUGUUCUGGGGCUCAGGAAAUAUUUCUGACAGGGAUAUACAUGUCCCUGACAGAAUAUAUAAAUAUAUAUAUUUGUCUCUUUUUUUAGGGCUGCACCCAUGGUAUAUGGAGGUUCCCAGGCUAGCCACAACCACAGCAACACAGCUAUACCACAGCUUACAGCAACACCGGAUCCUUAACCCACUGAACGGGGCCAAGGAUAGAACCUGUGCCCUCAUGGAUGCUAGUCAGAUUCAUUUCUGCUGAGCCAUGAUGGGAAUUCCUGUCAGGGUUAUAUUAAAAAAUCUAGGAGAUUUAGGCUCUUGCACCAGUGAAAAUCAGGAAUGGACUUAAUAUUAUAAAUAUUGCAAUCUAGUUUUGUUCCUAAUGAAUUUCUAAAUGGGUUAAGAUGAUUGUAUUUUGCUAUAUUUGCAUAAUUAUGAAGAAAACACUAUGGUGAAAGAUAAAAUAAUCUGGACCCUCUUUUUUUUUAAAUUGAAGUAUAGUUGAUUCACAAUAUUGUGUUAGUUUCAGGUUAUAGCAAGGUGAUUCAGUUAUAUAUUUCUUUAGAUUAUUUUCCAUUAUAGGUUAUUAUAAGAUAUUGAAUAUAGUUCCCUGUGUUAUACAGUAAACUCUUGUUGCUUAUCUAUUUUAUGUACAGCAGUUUUUAUCUUUCAGUCCCUUAAUCCAAUUUAUCCCCCCCAUUUCCCUUAGGUAACCAUAAGUUUGUUUUCUAUACUUGUAAAACUGUUCUUUAUUUUGUAUAUAGACUCAUUUGUAUUAUAUUCAGAUUCUAAAAAUAAGUGAUAUCAUAUAAUAUUUGUUUUUCUCUGAUUUUCUUCACUUAUAAUAAUCUCUGGGUCUAUUUAUGUUGCUGCAAAUGGCAAUGUUUCAUUUUUUAUUGGUUAGUAAUAUUCCAUUGUAUAUAUGUAUGUAAAUAUACAUACAUGCAUACACAUACACAAGAUUGCUUUGGCAAUUCUGGGUCUUUGUGGUUCCAUAUAAAUUUUAGUAUUAUUUAUUCUAGUUCUGUGGAAAUACAUUAUGCGUUUUUUUGAUAGGGAUCACAUUAAAUGUGUGGUUGCUCUGGAGGUAGUAUGACCAUUUUAAGAAUAAUUCUUCCGGAGAUCCCGUCGUGGCGCAGUGGUUAACGAAUCUGAACCAUGAGGUUGUGGGUUCGGUCUCUGGCCUUGCUCAGUGGGUUAAUGAUCCUGCGUUGCCGUGAACUGUGGUGUAGCUUGUAGACGCGGCUCGGAUCCCGCGUUGCUGUGGCCCUGGCGUAGGCCCGUGGCUGCAGCUCCAAUUCGACCCCUAGCCUGAGAACCUCCAUAUGCCGCGGGAGCGGCCCAAGAAAUAGCAAAAAGACAAAAAAAAAAAAAAAAA
rnacentral:lncRNA from 1 species